rnacentral:rRNA from 1 species
GACGAACGCUGGCGGCGUGCUUAACACAUGCAAGUCGAACGGAAAGACCCGGUCUUUGUGGGGCGCUCGAGUGGCGAACGGGUGAGUAACACGUGAGUACCCCGCCCUUGACUUUGGGGUAACUUCAGGAAACUGGGGAUAUUAUCGGAUAGGAGCUCCUGCUGCGUGGUGGGGGCUGGAAAGUUUCGGCGGUUGGGGAUGGAGUCGCGGCUUACCGGCUUGUUGGUGGGGUAGGUGCUUACCAAGGCAUCGAGGGGUAGCCGGCCUGAGAGGUGGACCGGCCGCCUUAGGACUGAGAGAGGGCCCAGACUGGUAUGGUAGGCAGCAGGGGGGAAUGUUGCACAAUGGGCGGACGCGUGAGGCAAGAACGCCGCGUGCGGGAAAACCGCUUUCGGGUGGAAAACCGAUGUCUCCUGUAACGAAGGGUGCUUGACGGUAAUGGGUAAAAAAGCCCCGGCUAACUACGUG